GUUUUUAAUUGAAAUCUGGUAUGAAAGGUUGGAUGAAAUAUUAACUGUUUUUUUUAAAAUUAUUGAAUUUUAUUUUUUAGUUAAAAAGCUAAAAUUUAAAAAAGGGACGAGAAGACCCUAUAGAGUUUUAUAAAAAUAAUUUAAAAUUUAUUUAUUUAAAUUUAAUUUUAAUAGUUUUUUUAAUUAAUUGGGGUGAUUAUAAAAUUAAUAUAACUUUUAUUUAAUAAUAAACAAUAAUUUUUGAUUUAUUGAUCCAUUUUUUAUGAUUAUAAAAUUAAAUUACCUUAGGGAUAACAGCAUAAUUUUUUUAUGAAGUUCUUAUUUAUAAAAAAGAUUAU
rnacentral:rRNA from 1 species